rnacentral:lncRNA from 1 species
GUCCUUAUAGCUCUAUGGUUCAAUGGCAUCAUACAUGACCACGGCAAAGGGGAGAGGCUGGAGCAAAGGAAACUCCUCCCUGGUUGUCUUUCUCAUCAAGGGCAGAAGCCAAAUAGACAAUCACAUCAGGACCUAGUGGACUUAAUGAUCCUCAGAAUAGUGUCAAAGAGAUAAAGGUGAAGUGCGCUAUUUUCAGCCCAGAGGGUCUCCAUUCUUUCCAGGUUCCAGCUAUAUUGGGGCAAGUUGCAUGGGAGGCGUAUUAAAGGGAACAAUCCAGUCUAUCACAAAAGGCCCUGAGAUUGGACGGCGUGGUAAGAAAAUCCAUUAAAACCGCCUCUGGCUUUGACCAUGUUUGCCUAUAAAUUAAGCUCUGGUACCUAAGCCAUUUUCUCUUUCCUGCCCUUCCAGGUUGAAGGAAGAGAAGCUAAGAGGAUGAAAUAGGAAUUCAAAGUGCAAGUCCAUCAUACCAAAGAGCUGUCUCAAUUACAUCCUGACCCCUUUUAGUAAUGUGGCCAGGGGUGUGCUUGCAGUUGGUUUAGUCCCCUGACAUUUCACCACCUCCAAGAUAGGCCUGGGACUGCUGAGACCCCAGUGGUAACCAAACCAAGGAUCCUGAGAACUUCCCAGUGCCCAAGCUGGCAAACAAAAGAACAUGAGUGUUGUUUGGGUUAGCCCACAACUAACUCCUCCAUGAGCUGCCAAACACUCAGUAUACAUUCUCGUCACCAAGAAAUGCCACUGGAAUGAAUCUGCACCAAAGCUGUUUAUGUGACUAAUGAACCUCCAUUACGUUGCAUCCAAGUAGGAGUAAAAUUUAUAUUCUACUCAAUGAAGGAGGGCUUUCUUGGGGGAGGGAAUCACAGAUGGCUGGGAAUAGAGGCGGGCAUUUAGAAAAAGCCACAUAUAUGAACAAAUACCAACACUGCAACACUGUAAAGGUAUCUUGUAUCAAGUUGGGAACUGUUUCUCCAAACCUCCACAAAAAAAAAAAAAAAUUCAAACUAGAAUACUUUCAGGGGUGGCGGGGGAGAAGGCAUCCCCUUUUCUCCUUCCAUGGUUUCAGGUACAGAAAGUUGGGGGUAGUUAUAAAAAAGGCUCCAUCACUGGUGUCUCCUAACAUAUUAUUUCUGUAUUAGUAUUAUCAGGCUUGUUAGCCAAAGACAGAUGCCGAACAAAAAGCUGAUCACAUUUCCCAAUCUUAUUUGCAAACAAGCGUUCAUUUCCUGCUUAUCAAGGCACAGUGCGGGUACUUUGUCCAUUCAAAUCAUUGUCUUAAGCCAGUGAUGCAAACCAAUGAGCAAGGUUCACCCCAGCCAGAGCCUGGACGCUCAAUGUCAUUGAACUCAAGGAGCAGAUAAUUAGUAUUGAAAGGUGUGAUUGCAGCCCAGUCGGCCAGGUAAUCAGCCCCUGAUUUCUCUUCAGGACUCUAGACCAGUUGGAAAUCUUAGCCCUAGAGGAGGCUGGAGGGAAUUAUCCUGGAAGUGUAGUAUCCCUUUUCAAAUAUAAACACCAGACAAUUACAGCAGCCAGUUAGCCCUUCCUUGCUCAGCACACUUGCGUUUCAGGCAGCGAUUGGAAGGGACCCCAGCUCUGCCCAGGCAGCUGUCUCCCAGCCUUGGCUCCCCAGGGCUCUUCCAUCAGCUCACUAACAUCUUCCAAGACUGUCGCAACCUUGAGAUGUCUCUGCAGACUGAGCCUCCUCAUCUCGGUGCUUGUUUUGCAAACAUUUGGCUGCUUCAUGGGAACCUGCCUCAACCUGAGGCCUGAGCUCUCUCUUGGCUGGGAUGGUGAAGUCUUCUUGAGAAGGGCUGAUCUCUUUUCUGAUCACUCAGAUCAGAUGGCUUGGAAGUGACAAAGUGAAAUGCAUCUCUCUGCCAUCCCUUCAAAGAUGGAAUGCCAGUUCUCCGUUCUCAGCAGCCAACAGCCAACUUUGACAUAGAACUUGGUUGAAUAUCUAAAUGGACACUCACGUCGGAGCAUAAUUUUUAGGAAAGUAGCUAAAGGUUCAAAACAGGUCCCCAGUCUCCUUUCUGACCCUGGGUGGCCCCUUCUCUCUGGACAGGGAUGUCAUCUGACAGGGAAGAUACGUAUGGAAAUGUAGUCGCCUCUAUAUCAAAGAAUGCUUUCUCCAUUUUCUUUACGGUGCUUUGCUUUAACCAAAUUCACAAUGGCUAACAUAGUUAGACAGCAAAAUAAACAUGAGUGGCCAUAAAACACUGACUCUUCCAGACUCUGAUGGAGGCUGUGCAGCCAGCUACCCGCCCCUGGACUUGGAGGGAGGGCCUAGUGUAUAAACAGAGUUUGCAUGCAAGACUCCAUGUGUUAUCAACAUAUCACAUUCAGGCUCCUGCCAACCCCACAGCAGACACAUAACUCUACAUUAUGUAAUGUGGAAAUCAGCAAGGCUUCGAGAAAAGUGGCUUUUUGUUCCUUAGAACCUAUCUUCCACCUAGGGUAGAUGUCCUCCCAGUCAAGCCAAGCAACUCUCCGUGGCCACCCCCCAGGCCAGGGGCUCACAGCUUCAGGCCACUGCUGCUCCUUCUUUCUUUUAGAAAGUGCUGAGCUUUGGAACACUGGGCAAAGGCCUUCUUGCCUUCUAAAUUAGCCUUCUCUUGCUUCCAUUACACCAUACUUUUUUCUGCCAACAUUUUAUUAUGCAAUUUUUCAAAUAUCCAGAAAAUCUGAACCACUCCUGAGAUCUAUUUUUAAGUUAUUACUCUCUCGUGAAUGGCUCUUGAAUUCUUCUCCUUUCCUCCAAGUAACAUUUUUCAAGAUACCUGUUGUGGGAAACAUGUGGCAUGGGAUGUCAGUGCCCCACAUGGCUGCUCAAGUUGUAAUCCAGGGCUUCUCUCGGUUUUCUUUCAGAGAUGAGAAGAGUCCAGGCUUCAGUUACAGACAGACCGGGGUUCUUCCUAGCUAAACUCUGGAUGUGUUUCUUUACUGCUCUGAGCUUGAGCUUGCCUUCAAAUGGUGGUGGGCAUGACAGCCAAUCCAACU